rnacentral:rRNA from 1 species
AUUGAACGCUGGCGGCAUGCCUUACACAUGCAAGUCGAACGGUAACAGGUCUUCGGAUGCUGACGAGUGGCGAACGGGUGAGUAAUACAUCGGAACGUGCCCAGGCGUGGGGGAUAACGAGGCGAAAGCUUUGCUAAUACCGCAUACGAUCUAAGGAUGAAAGCAGGGGACCGCAAGGCCUUGCGCGUUUGGAGCGGCCGAUGGCAGAUUAGGUAGUUGGUGGGAUAAAAGCUUACCAAGCCGACGAUCUGUAGCUGGUCUGAGAGGACGACCAGCCACACUGGGACUGAGACACGGCCCAGACUCCUACGGGAGGCAGCAGUGGGGAAUUUUGGACAAAGGGCGAAAGCCUGAUCCAGCAAUGCCGCGUGCAGGAUGAAGGCCUUCGGGUUGUAAACUGCUUUUGUACGGAACGAAAAGGCUCUGGCUAAUACCUGGGGCACAUGACGGUACCGUAAGAAUAAGCACCGGCUAACUACGUG